CCUCUCCGAGACUCUGAGUUAGUCUCCUAUGUGUUAGCAGGUCUUGGCUCUGACUAUGAUCCUCUCAUCACCUCUAUUACCACCCGCAUUGAUCCUAUCUCUCUUGAAGAACUCUAUGGCCAUUUACUCACCCAUGAGC